UUCCCUUUAUUAGUUCAGCGCUUAUUACCUUUUUAAAAUAUUUUGUGAGAUGUCCUAGAAUUUUAAUGUACAUAGUGUGUACGUGUAAUUUAGUAAGGUGUGUAAUUAAUCAAAUGUGUAAUUUAAUGUCUUCAGUUAGUCAGUGUUUUACCCUCUUGAACAAAGUACAGACCUUUGAAUGCCUUAUUCCUAUUAUCUCCUUCCUACUUAUAUGCCAUUUUUUUUCUACUAGCAUUUUGAUUCUAUAUUAUUUCCAAACCUUAUAAUUGAGCAUCAUUGUUAUUUAACACAGUUAUUUUAUAGGUUUAUCCAUGUAUUCAUCAUUUUCUUCACUGUUUGGAAUCUCUCACCUUUCUGCUAUGAGUUUUCUUCAUCCUAAAGUAUAUCCUGUAUAAAUUUCUCUGAGUCUGUCGGAAAAUGUUUUUAUUCCACCAAUAUUCUUGAAAGAUAGUUUGUUGGUUAUAGAAAAUUCGGUUGUCAGUUACUUUCUGCAUUUUGAAGGUACUAUUCCAGUGCUUUCUGAAAUCCAUGUUGCUUUGGAUAAGUGUGCCCAAAGUCUGUUUUUCCCCUGUGCAUAAUCAAUUUCUCCCUCUGACUGCUUUUAAGAUUUUUUUCUUUAUCUUUGACCACAAAGUACCUUGGUAUGAAUGUGCCUUUUUACUUAUCAUGCCUUGAAUUUGUUGGGCAUAUUUCUGUGAUAAAACAGGAGUUGUUGUUGUUCAGACACUAAGUCAUGUCCAACUCUUUGCAGCCUUAUGGACUGCAGCAUGCCAGGGUUCCCUGUCCUUCACGGUCUCCUGGAGUUUGCUCAAACAGGGAUGACACUCCUAAAAAAAGUCACAUUUACCUGACCUGUCCUUCCUCCCUUAGCCACCACCUCAUUUGAACACAGUUAUGAGAUCUGGACCUGUGAGAAUCAUCUUGAAAUCAUGAGAUUACAAACACAAGAAUGAAGAAGUAGAAGAGAAAGCAUCUAAGUCCUUAAUAACCUCACCAAGCACUGAAUUGCCUACUUCUAGGCUUCAUGCUUGGAGAAGGAAAUGGCAACCCACUCCAGGAUUCUUGCCUGGGAGAUCCUGUGGACAGAAGUGCCUGGCAGGCUACAGUCCAUGGGGAUGCACGAGUCAGACACAACUUGGUCACUAAAUCACCAUCACCACCAGUCUUCAUGUAUAGGAAGGAAAUAAUCGCCUUUUUGCUUAAUGUUUGUUCUUUAGUCAGUUACUCAGUUGCAUCCAAAAUUAAUCUUAAUCAGAACAUGAUCCUUUAUUUCUCUGUGAAGUGCAACAAGCACUGUAACAGAGUAAGUGCUCAGUAACAUUUCAAACAACUACUGGUCAUAUUGAAUCGUGUGUGAAGAAGUCUGUUUGUCUUUGAAAAUAUUGAUAAAUUUGAUUUAAGAAUUUUCUUUUUAAUAAAAAACCUGUAGCUGACCUACAGAUCAAUUUUUAAAAAGACAAACUAAUAUCAAAUACCUACUAAAAGUACCAGACAGUGUUUCUUCUACUAUGCCAUAGCUUGUCAGACUUAACUGGACAAGUACCACAAGGGAAGCCUGGCGUGCUGCCGUCCAUAAGGUUGCAAAGAGUCAGACACGACUGAGCGACUGAACUGAACUGAACUCUGGUUCCUAAGUUAAUUCUUAGGAACCAGAAAUGCAAUCAAAGACAUAUGAGACAUACAUGCUUCUUGAGUCAUUAUGUUUGAAAUAUAUCAUUCAUUCUUAGGAAGGAGGAGGCAAAAGAAAUGAAAAUCAAGGUUAAUCAGAAAAUCUGGCCUGAAGGAGUUGCAAGUGUAAGCAGGAAAGAAGAGGAAGGAGAGAGUGAGAUAGAGAAUGAUAGAGAGGUCACAACAGCUGAUUGUCUUUACUCUUCUGUCUUCCAACCAGCUCAGCUGUCUUUUAAAAAGAAGACAUGUCUUAAGAAGGAGCAAUCUGCAAGCCAGCCAGAAGCAAAGACGCCAUUGAUUGACCUGUGGAAAGUGCUCCUAUUCAUCCACUGCUAAAUGCAUUCUAAGAAUGCUGACUGCAUUAUUCAGCCAUGGAAGAACUCCACUCAGAGGGAGUCGUGAUAAAUCAGAGCAUCAGCCCUUUCCGCUUGGACACCAAUAAGUCCUGCACUUCAAAAUUGCUGACCUAAAAAGGAUGCUCAAGAAGGAGCAAGUUUUUUUUUUUUUUUCUUGUAAAGAAAGCAACACCAGAAGCAGUGUGACUUCCUUGUUCACUUAGAUGCAUGCAAAAAAGAAAAGGUCGCUGUCUUUGCUUCAGGACUUUCUUCCUUCCACCCUCACAGCAUGAGCCUGUGGACUGCCUGCUGAGGAACAUCCUACUGAGAAGAACCUCCAGAUCAUUCCGUGAGAUGGUAACAGAAAGGAACCAAGGUGAAAAGAGGGGUGGUGUGGGGAACUUCCCUGGAGAUCCGGUGGUUAAGACUCUUCUUCCACUGCAACAGGUGUGGGUUUGAUCCCUGGUUGACUGAAUGGCGUG
ensembl:lncRNA